rnacentral:rRNA from 1 species
UUGGAGGGCAAGUCUGGUGCCAGCAGCCGCGGUAAUUCCAGCUCCAAUAGCGUAUAUUAAAGUUGUUGCAGUUAAAAAGCUCGUAGUUGAAUUUCGGGGUUCUACCGUUGGUCGGGCUAUUGUCUGUACUGGCGUGUAGAAUUUCUACCUUCUGGGGAACUAUCAUGUUAUUAAUUUAGCGUGGUAGGAAACCAGGACCUUUACCUUGAAAAAAUUAGAGUGUUCAAAGCAGGCUUAUGUCUGAAUACAUUAGCAUGGAGUAAUAAAAUAGGACGGUGGUCCUGUUUUGUUGGUUUCUGAAUCACCGUAAUGAUUAAUAGGGAUAGUUGGGGGCAUUAGUAUUCAAUUGUCAGAGGUGAAGUUCUUGGAUUUAUUGAAGACUAACUACUGCGAAAGCAUUUGCCAAGGAUGUUUUCAUUAAUCAAGAACGAAAGUUAGGGGAUCGAAGACGAUCAGAUACCGUCGUAGUCUUAACCAUAAACUAUGCCGACUAGGGAUCGGACGAUGUUAACUUUUCUUGACUCGUUCGGCGCCUUACGGGAAA